AGUGGCAGACGGGUGAGUAAUGUAUAGGAAUCUACCUAGUAGUACGGAAUAAUUGUUGGAAACGGCAACUAANACCGUAUACGCCCUACGGGGGAAAAAUUUAUUGCUAUUAGAUGAGCCUAUAUUAGAUUAGUUAGUUGGUGAGGUAAAGGCUUACCAAGACAAUGAUCUAUAGCUGAUCUGAGAGGAUGAUCAGCCACACUGGAACUGAGAUACGGUCCAGACUCCUACGGGAGGCAGCAGUGGGGAAUAUUGACAAUGGGCGAAAGCCUGAUCCAGCCAUGCCGCAUGAGUGAAGAAGGCCUUCGGGUUGUAAAGCUCUUUUAGUGAGGAAGAUAAUGACGGUACUCACAGAAGAAGUCCUGGCUAACUCCGUGCCAGCAGCCGCGGUAAUACGGAGAGGGCUAGCGUUAUUCGGAAUCAUUGGGCGUAAAGGGCGCGUAGGCGGGUUAGUAAGUUAAAAGUGAAAUCCCAAGGCUCAACCUUGGAACUGCUUUUAAAACUGCUAGUCUAGAGAUUGAAAGAGGAUAGAGGAAUUCCUAGUGUANAGAUGAAAUUCGUAAAUAUUAGGAGGAACACCAGUGGCGAANGCGUCUAUCUGGUUCAAAUCUGACGCUGAGGCGCGAAGGCGUGGGGAGCAAACAGGAUUANAUACCC
rnacentral:rRNA from 1 species